AGCCCUCUGUAUCCGUUCUGAGAUUUCGUCAAAGACCAAGCCGUUGGGGCUGAUGGUACUUUCCAAGUAAGUGAAGCG
rnacentral:pre_miRNA from 1 species